rnacentral:lncRNA from 1 species
AAGGACUUGACAUGGGUGAGUUGAUCAAACUAGAGAAAAGGGUACACGGGAGUACUAAAUCAUGUUGUGGAAACAAAGGUUUACAUACAAUUCCGUGUUUUCCAGUGUUUCCUGUUUAGAUUUUUUGUGCUAACAUGUCUGUCUUUCCGUGGAAGAAUGACAAGUUUUUUAAAGAGAUAAAUAUGCUCAUGAAAAAGGCAAGACCUCAAACUUUAUCCUUUAAUGAAAAAUAUAAUCAUGCUGCUCCUUAUUAAGAGAUAAAUACCGUAAAAUGAUAAAAUCAACAACUAAAUGCUUGGGCUAAUUAGUUAACUUUCCUGAUAUGCAGGAAUCUAAAUUAAUGGAAGAAAAUGCUAAGUUGAAACAGCAAGCAGAAGUGAGAG